rnacentral:rRNA from 1 species
UACGUAGGGGGCAAGCGUUGUCCGGAUUUAUUGGGCGUAAAGAGCGUGUAGGCGGCUUGGUAGGUCUCGCGUCAAAACCUGAGGCUCAACCUCAGUUCGCGUGGGAAACCACCUAGCUAGAGUCCGGAAGAGGAGAACGGAAUUCCCGAGUGUAGCGGUGAAAUGCGCAGAUAUUGGGAAGAACACCAGUGGCGAAGGCGGUUCUCUGGGACGGUACUGACGCUGAGACGCGAAAGCGUGGGGAGCGAACAGG